CGCGAAUGGCUCAUUAUAACAGCUAUAAUUUACUUGAUCUUGACACAAUCCUACUUGGAUAACUGUGGUAAUUCUAGAGCUAAUACAUGCAUUAAAGCUCUGACCUCACGGGAAGAGUGCAUUUAUUAGAACAAAACCAAGCGGCUUCGACUGUUUCUGGUUGACUCAUAGUAACUGAGCUGAUCGCAUGGUCUUGCACCGGCGACGUGUCUUUCAAGUAUCUGCCGUAUCAACUUUCGAUGGUAGUGUAUCCGACUACCAUGGUGAUCGCGCGUAGCGGAGAAUAAGGGUUCGGCUCCGGAGAGUUCGCCUGAGAAAUCGCGAACACAUCUAAGGAAGGCAGCAGGCGCGAAAAUUACCCACUCUCAGCACGAGGAGGUAGUGACGAAAAAUAACGAGACCGUUCUCUUAUGAGGCCGGUCAUCGGAAUGGGUACAAUUUAAACCCUUUAACGAGUAUCUAUGAGAGGGCAAGUCUGGUGCCAGCAGCCGCGGUAAUUCCAGCU
rnacentral:rRNA from 1 species